AUUGAACGCUGGCGGCAGGCUUAACACAUGCAAGUCGAGCGGAGAUGAGGUGCUUGCACCUUAUCUUAGCGGCGGACGGGUGAGUAAUGCUUAGGAAUCUGCCUAUUAGUGGGGGACAACAUUCCGAAAGGAAUGCUAAUACCGUAUACGUCCUACGGGAGAAAGCAGGGGAUCUUCGGACCUUGCGCUAAUAGAUGAGCCUAAGUCGGAUUAGCUAGUUGGUGGGGUAAAGGCCUACCAAGGCGACGAUCUGUAGCGGGUCUGAGAGGAUGAUCCGCCACACUGGGACUGAGACACGGCCCAGACUCCUACGGGAGGCAGCAGUGGGGAAUAUUGGACAAUGGGGGGAACCCUGAUCUAGCCAUGCCGCGUGUGUGAAGAAGGCCUUAUGGUUGUAAAGCACUUUAAGCGAGGAGGAGGCUACUGAGACUAAUACUCUUGGAUAGUGGACGUUACUCGCAGAAUAAGCACCGGCUAACUCUGUGCCAGCCGCCGCCGUAAGAC
rnacentral:rRNA from 1 species